GAUGAAGAACGGUAGCGAAAUGCGAUACGUAGUGUGAAUUGCAGAAUUCAGUGAAUCAUCGAAUCUUUGAACGCACAUUGCACCUCUCGGUAUUCCGGGAGGUAUGCCUGUUCGAGCGUCAUUUGUACCCUCAAGCUCUGCUUGGUGUUGGGUGUUUGUUCCGCCUCUGUGUGUGAACUCGCCUCAAAACAAUUGGCAGCCGGCGUACUUGUUUCGGAGCGCAGCACAUUUUGCGAUCCAGAUCAACGUACAGCGGCAUCCAAGAAGCCUUAUUUAACGCUCUUGACCUCGGAUCAGGUAGGGAUACCCGCUGAACUUAAGCAUAUCAAUAAGCGGAGGA
rnacentral:misc_RNA from 1 species